GCGGGCGUAGCUCAGUUGGUUAGAGCGGCUGGCUGUGGCCCAGCAGGUCGUGGGUUCGAUCCCCAUCGCUCGCC
rnacentral:tRNA from 1 species